rnacentral:rRNA from 1 species
GCCCUAUGGGUUGUAAACUGCUUUUAUAUAGGAAGAACUACAGCUACGUGUAGCUGUUUGACGGUACUAUACGAAUAAGGACCGGCUAACUCCGUGCCAGCAGCCGCGGUAAUACGGAGGGUCCAAGCGUUAUCCGGAUUUAUUGGGUUUAAAGGGUCCGUAGGCGGGUCAUUAAGUCAGUGGUGAAAUCCUACAGCUCAACUGUAGAACUGCCAUUGAAACUGAUGACCUUGAGUAUAAUUGAAGUGGGCGGAAUGUGUCAUGUACCGGUGAAAUGCUUAGAUAUGCCACAGAACACCGAUUGCGAAGGCAGCUCACUAAGUUAUAACUGACGCUGAGGGACGAAAGCGUGGGUAGCGAACAGGAUUAGAUACCCUGGUAGUCCACGCCGUAAACGAUGUAUACUCGWUGCUGGCGAUACACAGUCAGUGACCAAGCGAAAGUAUUAAGUUUGCCACCUGGGGAGUACGCUCGCAAGAGUGA